CUACGGGCCGCAGCAGUGGGGAAUAUUGCACAAUGGAGGAAACUCUGAUGCAGCAACGCCGCGUGGAGGAUGACACUUUUCGGAGCGUAAACUCCUUUUAUAUAGGAAGAAGAUGACGGUACUAUAUGAAUAAGCGCCGGCUAACUCCGUGCCAGCAGCCGCGGUAAUACGGAGGGCGCAAGCGUUACUCGGAAUCACUGGGCGUAAAGAGCGUGUAGGCGGAUUAAAAAGUCAGAAGUGAAAUCCUAUAGCUUAGCUAUAGAACUGCUUCUGAAACUCUUAAUCUAGAAUAUGGGAGAGGUAGAUGGAAUUUCUGGUGUAGGGGUAAAAUCCGUAGAGAUCAGAAGGAAUACCGAUUGCGAAGGCGAUCUACUAGAACAUUAUUGACGCUGAGACGCGAAAGCGUGGGGAGCAAACAGGAUUAGAUACCCUCGUAGUC
rnacentral:rRNA from 1 species